rnacentral:rRNA from 1 species
CGGGGGAUAAAGGCUUUGGGAAUGUGGCUCCCUCGGGAGUGUUAUAGCCCACUGCGUAAUACCCUGGGGUGGACUGAGGUUCGCGCUCUGCAAGGAUGCUGGCGUAAUGGUCAUCA